rnacentral:rRNA from 1 species
CCUACGGGAGGCAGCAGUGGGGGAUAUUGCACAAUGGGGGGAACCCUGAUGCAGCGACGCCGCGUGGGUGAAGGAGCGUUUCGGCGCGUAAAGCCCUAUCGGCAGGGAAGAAGGAGGACGGUACCUGACUAAGACGCCCCGGCUAACUACGUGCCAGCAGCCGCGGUAGUGCGUCGGGGGCAAGGGUUAUCCGGAUUUACUGGGUGUACAGGGGGCGCAGACGGCAGCGAAAGCCAGGACUGAAAGCCCGGGGCCCACCCCCGGGACUGCGCUGGAAACUGCGGGGCUGGGGUGCAGGAGGGGCAGGCGGAAUUCCUGGUGUAGCGGUGAAAUGCGGAGAUAUCAGGAGGAACACCUGUGGCGAGGGCGGCCUGCUGGACUGCGACUGACGUUGCGGCCCGAACGCGUGGGGAGCAAACAGGAUUAGAUACCCUUGUAGUC